AUUGAACGCUGGCGGCAGGCCUAACACAUGCAAGUCGAGCGAGCGGCGGACGGGUGAGUAAUGUAUGGGGACUGCCCGAUAGAGGGGGAUAACUACUGGAAACGGUGGCUAAUACCGCAUACUAUCGGAUAACCCAUAUGGGAUUAGCUAGUAGGUGGGGUAAAGUCUCACCUGGGCGACGAUCGCUAGCUGGUCUGAGAGGAUGAUCAGCACAACGAGGACUGAGACACGGCCCAGACGCCUAUGGAGGCAGCAGUGGGGAAUAUUGCACAAUGGGAGCAAGCCUGAUGCAGCCAUGCCGCGUGUAUGAAGAGGGCCGUAGGGUUGUAAAGUACUUUCAGCGGGGAGGCGUUACCCGCAGAAGAAGCACCGGCUAACUCGGGGCCAGCAGCCGCGGUAAGAC
rnacentral:rRNA from 1 species